rnacentral:rRNA from 1 species
GCAAGUCGAGCGCACCCUUCGGGGCGAGCGGCGGACGGGUUAGUAACGCGUGGGAACAUACCUUUCAUUACGGAAUAGCCAUUGGAAACGAUGAGUAAUAACGUAUACGCCCUUCGGGGGAAAGAUUUAUCGGUGAAAGAUUGGCCCGCGUUAGAUUAGCUAGUCGGUAGGGUAAUGGCCUACCAAGUCUACGAUCUAUAGCUGGUUUUAGAGGAUGAUC